rnacentral:lncRNA from 1 species
AAGACUAGCCUGGGCCUAUUUGGUCCUUACCAGGAAUGUCUGAUACCAUCACACUGACCAAGAAGAUGUCCUGCUUCUUGCUGACAGAUCAUGGAUGGAGGAGGCAGAAGAGAUGCUACCCCUGACAACACAAGAUCUCCUGGAAGGACAUCCAUGUCCUGGUGGCUGCUGCACAGGUCACCUGACCUCCACAAGCUUUCCUCUCUCUUAUUCUUAUGGCGGUUUUUGUUGUUCUUCAUUCCAACUUUGCUACUGCCCAGCCUUUUUCUAACACUCCCAAUACCCACUACUGGAGAUUUCUUGCUAGGGAGACAUACUACAGACACAACAGAAUUAUAGGACAGCCCUUGUGAAGGAUGAUGGACUAGGAUUGAGAGUCCUCUAACUUGAUGAUU